rnacentral:lncRNA from 1 species
UGCAAAAUAAAGAUAAGAGAAUCAAUGUUCCCAGUACUCUAUAUGUGAACAUGUGUAAAGAGAAAUGGGAUACUAGUAACCACAAGAGAUAAAUCAGUAGGUUAGCCAAAACCAAAUAAAAAAUAAACAGAAUUUAUGCUAUUAUAUAAAGUCAAGCCUUUUUCACACAGCCUGCAUAUUGCCAAGAUAGACAUGAUACAUCUUCACAUGCUUAAGUCAAAUUCAAAAGGUAAUACAAAUAGUGCAUGGAAUUUGGCAUAAAAGUCACCAUUUUCAUACAAGAAUUACCUACGAUUCCUCUUUUAAAUGGUGAAAGAAAAUUAUUUCUACUAGCAGGCACAAUAGCAUGUAAAACAAUUAAAGCAGAAAAAGGAAAAAGAAUAGGUAUGAAGUUUUUUUUUUAAUGUUCCACUCACUCUAGUAUACUCCUGCCCAAACUGGGUAUUGGCUUCCUUUGUCUUACAUAGGACAACAAUGAAUGAAACUUCUCACCAAGGUCUGUUUAGGCAUUUCUAGAGAGAGGCCUCAAUUUUUGCCAUUUCCCAGGGGCACCUAGUGGGAUGAAAUAUGGAUCUGGAGUUCAGUUCAAGGCACCAUCUGAAUGGUGGAGAAUAUGCUUAUUUUCGGACAAAAUUAAUGCUUGCACCAUGAAACACUUUAACCUGAAAUUCUAAAUUUGAACCCUUAGUUUUAUACAAUUUUGAAGGCAUGAUUAAUAGGGGUGAAACAGACACUUUCAUUCCACAAACUCUUUGAGAAAUAAAAACAAGCUGCAUUCUCCAUAGAAAACGGGCAAUGCUUAUUCUAAUGCUAAAUUUUCCAAAACUAAGUGAGCUUGUCCCAAAAUAAAUUUGGAACUAGCAGAGAUGUGCUUUAAGAAGCUGAUGUAUUGGGUUUCAGAGAUGUUGAAACUAAAUAUUAGAUGUGAAGUGAACCUUCUCUUUUAUGCUCUCUUUCUUCUCUCAGACUUGAACAGUAUGACCUGAAUGCAAUUUAUAAGACACUAGGGGUGUCUUGGGGAGCAACAAAAGAAAAUAAAAGCUUCUACAGCCCACUAGUCUGAUCUCUAACCAUCUAGUGGACACAUAUUUCCAAUCUCCACUUCCCAUAUCUUGCAAUUAUAAACCACAGUAAGUCAAGCAACUUUGGAACUGUUUCGUCCCAAUCAAAACAAAUAGAAGGAUGAGAAAUUCCAAAAUAUAUUGAUUUCGACAUGCCAAUCCUACAAUAUACUUUAGUUGCAGUUAUUUUUCACUUCACUCAGAAAGCAGGCCUUGUACACUGAAAACUCUGUUCUAGUGGUCAUUAAGUUUGCUUUCAAACAGACUAAACUUCUUAGAUUUGUCUAUAGCCUUUAGGAAAGGUGUAAGAUACUGCAUUAUACAUCUCAUAUCCCACUUUGUGUCGUAUAAAGGUUUAUCUUCCUCUUUAUGAGCCUUUACUACUAACAUUUCUUGUGUUAAGAUUCUAAGGUC